rnacentral:rRNA from 1 species
UACGGAGGGGGCCAGCGUUGUUCGGAAUUAUUGGGCGUAAAGGGCUCGUAGGCGGCCAACUAAGUCAGACGUGAAAUCCCUCGGCUUAACCGGGGAACUGCAUCUGAUACUGGAUGGCUUGAGUUCGGGAGAGGGAUGCGGAAUUCCAGGUGUAGCGGUGAAAUGCGUAGAUAUCGGGAGGAACACCAGUGGCGAAGGCGGCUCUCUGGGACGGUACUGACGCUGAGACGCGAAAGCGUGGGGAGCGAACAGGA